rnacentral:rRNA from 1 species
UACAGAGGGUGCAAACGUUGUUCGGAAUCACUGGGCAUAAAGCGUACGUAGGCGGCCCCGUAAAUGUCGGAUGAAAUCCCACGGCUUACCCGUGGAACGGUCCGGCAUACUGCGGGGCUAGAGGAUGGUAGAGGAGAGCGGAACUCUUGGUGGAGCGGUGAAAUGCGUAGAUAUCAGGAGGAACACCGAUGGCGAAGGCAGCUCGCUGGGACGGUACUGACGCUGAGGCGCGAAAGCGUGGGGAGCAAACAGG